UACAGGGGGGGCAAGCGUUGUUCGGAAUUACUGGGCGUAAAGGGCCAGUAGGCGGCCAACUAAGUCACACGUGAAAUCCCCAGGCUUAACCUGGGAACUGCGUGUGAUACUGGAUGGCUUGAAUUCGGGAGAGGGAUGCAGAAUUCCAGGUGUAGCGGUGAAAUGCGUAGAUAUCUGGAGGAAUACCGGUGGCGAAGGCGGCAUCCUGGACCGACAUUGACGCUGAUGCGCGAAAGCUAGGGGAGCAAACAGG
rnacentral:rRNA from 1 species